UACGUAGGGUGCGAGCGUUGCCCGGAUUUAUUGGGCGUAAAGGGCGCGUAGGCGGCUCGGCACGUCCGUUGUGAAAUCGCCCGGCUCAACUGGGCGGGGUCAGCGGAUACGGUCGAGCUUGAGCAAGCUAGGGGGUAAUGGAAUUCCCGGUGUAGUGGUGGAAUGCGUAGAUAUCGGGAGGAACACCAGUGGCGAAGGCGGUUACCUGGGGCUUUGCUGACGCUGAUGCGCGAAAGCGUGGGGAGCAAACAGGG
rnacentral:rRNA from 1 species